AUUAGCAUAUUUCUCUAUUAUAUAUACAGAUUGGAACAAUACAAAGAAGAUUAGCAUAGCCCCGGCACAAAGAUGACAAGCAAAUUCGUGAAUGAUUCCAUAUUUAA
ensembl:snRNA U6 U6 spliceosomal RNA